UUUCCACUGAAUUUCCUUUCCUUUUCGCAGUCGAAAGAAAAUCGGGCGAGUCAACUCUACCUACACGAUGUAUCGCCAAAUAUACGUCGCCGUCUACACAACUUAUAGAGAAAUCACAAGUCUCCACCGUCUCACUAUAAAAACAAGGCACUUGGAUUUCGAUUUCUCUCUGUUUUCUGUUUGUUGGUGAAGCGAUACAAUCCAUGUAUACCUUAUGGGUCGAGCCUUUUCUCUCUAACCUAUCUGAAUACGUUAAAGCAAAUGUGCCAGCAUGUAAUCAAGAACUAAACAGCGGGAUUACCGUAAAGCAGAGUAAUGGAAGCAUAGUCCAGGCAUCUCAAUCUCCAAACACUUCAAAUGCUCGAGUUUUGAAAAUAAGUCAGUCUAUUUUAUCCGAAACUGAACGAAAAGAGACGAAAAGGAAAAUUAAUCAGCAUAUCGCGGAAGAAUAAAGAAAAACAAAAUGCAAAUGCAAUUGGAUAUUGUGAACCUUAGAGGAGAAAAUGACUCUUUAAAGGUCGAGAAUCAGUCAUUAAAAGAGGAUAAUGCUUCCAUGAAACAAACCGUAGAACAGCAAGCAGCCAUGAUUGAUCAGUUGAGGAAUGAUCUUUUGCGGCUGAAGCACGACCAUAGAUGUUCUAGGCGAAACACUUGCACAGUAUCUAGGUGAUCUAUUGCGGCUCGAAAAUGGGAAACAAAGGAAGAAUGCGAAUCUUAAUAGUAAUGUACCACAGCUGUUGGCGGAGAACGCGAAUUUAAAACUUGAAAAUGAGGUACUCAGGGUUCAGAAUGAUGCUUUAUGUGGGAAGAUAGUGACAACGACAAGAAGGGAGCAAGAACCAUAAUCUGAAAUACUGUUUGAAGAUAUGU